rnacentral:tRNA from 1 species
GCCCUUGUGGUGCAAUGGUCAGAAUGUUUGGCUGCUAACCAAAAGGUUGGUGGUUCAAACCCACCAGCAGCU